rnacentral:rRNA from 1 species
GAUGAACGCUAGCGGCAGGCUUAACACAUGCAAGUCGAGGGGUAGAAGCAGCUUGCUGCUUUGAGACCGGCGCACGGGUGCGUAACGCGUAUACAAUCUACCUUUUACAGAGGGAUAGCCCAGAGAAAUUUGGAUUAAUACCUCAUAGUAUUUUCGAAUCGCAUGAUUUGAUUAUUAAAGUUCCAACGGUAAAAGAUGAGUAUGCGUCCCAUUAGCUAGAUGGUAAGGUAACGGCUUACCAUGGCAACGAUGGGUAGGGGUCCUGAGAGGGAGAUCCCCCACACUGGUACUGAGACACGGACCAGACUCCUACGGGAGGCAGCAGUGAGGAAUAUUGGACAAUGGGCGCAAGCCUGAUCCAGCCAUGCCGCGUGCAGGAAGACGGUCCUAUGGAUUGUAAACUGCUUUUANACAGGAAGAAACACCUCUACGUGUAGAGACUUGACGGUACUGUAUGAAUAA